CCAGAAAAAUAAUUAAAAUGGCCUUAUUACAACCCAAAACCAAAUAAUAAUAUUAAUAAGAUAAAACUUAUAAAGAAAUAAAUCGGCUACUUAUUGCAAUUUAAAGAACAAGAAACAGUAGUGUGGCCAUCUCCGAGUCCCUCGCAGCUCCAAACCAUCUAAGCUUAGGGAUUACCUGCACAGUUAGAAACGGGGUGAGUUUACGAAAACUCAGUGUGUAAUCCCAAUAACAAACAAACAGUGAAAACACAGUGUCAGUACAAUCUAGGCCAAAGCCCUAUUUAGUCUUGGCAUAUACUAGGCCGAAGCCUUUCGUUUAACGGUUACUGGGCCAAAGCCUUAUCAUAAAUCAUAUCACUGGGCCGAAGCCUUAUCAUAAAUCAUAUCACUGGGCCGAAGCCUUACAGUAAACAGUAUGGCCCUUAGGCCCAUUUCAAUAUCACAUGUAAUGUCAAUGGAUGUAUGCAAGCCCAUUUGGGGAGACUACUCGACCCACCAUCCGCUACUCUCCACCCGUACCAACCAACACACCAUGUGGGGAAUAACUCAACCCACCCAACCAAACUCUCCACUGGCAGCAUAGUUGCUUUAUCAUAUAACUGGAGGCCUAGCCUCUUUUAAUAACUGGGGCAAAGCCCUUUCUGAUAAACUGGGGCAAAGCCCUUUUCGGUAAACUAGGGCAGAGCCCUUUUAGCACUUCCUCCAUCAAUAUAACUCAUAUCCCAUGCAAUAUGUCAUGUAUGUAGAAUGUCAUGCCCAUAUUUGAAUCAAAUAAUCACAGUUAAGUCAUUCAUAUCACUAACAUAUAUUCACAAUCAAAUCCGUCAACCACACAGUCCAAGUCAGUCACUUGCCCACAAGGGCAAAACAAUCAUUUUUCAUAUUAUAAGGGUAUUUUCGUAAUUUUACCAAAAAUCAGGGUUUUCCAUGUUCAUUACAAUUUUCAAUAUUCCAAUUGUUUAAACAAUGAUCUUUAACCCACUUAUCAAAUUCGGGCUUUUGGGCCCAAAACCCCCUAAUGGGCCCUACGAAUGCUGAUUUAGCCCACUAAGCCUACUUAACCCAAAUUUUACAACAAUACUAACCGUGUUAACAUGUAACUUUUCCAAAUUCCAUUUUCUAUCAAUUUUACCCAAAUGGGCCCAAAAGCCCAUUUGGCCCAAUUCCUGCCCAUUGAGGCCCAACUUACCAUCGUGCACAAAAUUAGGUUCUUACCCGUUCCAUCGAUCCAAACACCGAUCUUAUCGUAUUUAUCGUAUCUAUACCCAAACGCAACAUUAUAAGUUCCCGAAAUACCGGUAUUUUAGCAUUUCAGCUUCUCAGCAAAUAUUAAUCUAAGCUAUUACGAGGGUUAGUACACACCUGUUACGGGUUGAAGUUGAAACGUUUCCAAAAUCAAUCGCCUACGAUAACCACCACCUGUCACUCAAACUUAACUAAUCCAAUAUCAAUAUAUGUAAAUCCUAAGCACAUCAAUCAUACGAAACAUAAGGGCAUAUUCGUCAUUUUACCAUACAAGGGUAUUACGGUCACUUUACCCUAUAGGGGCUUUACGGUCUUUUUACCUAUUAGGGGUAUUUUAGUCAUUUCAUCCUACAAGGGUGUUUUGGUAAAUCUACAAACCAAUGGUAUUUCUAUAAUUUUUAGAAAGUCAAGGGUAUUUUUGUAAUUUUGUAAAUCAGGGGUAUUUUGGUAAUUUUACAAAUUAGGGGUAUUUUGGUAAUUUUACAAAUUAAGGGUAUUUUGGUAAUUCUAUCCUACAGGGGUAUUUCAGUAAUUUCACAAUCAAGGGUAAAACGAUAAUUUUGUAAACUAAGGGUAAAAUGGUAAUUUUGUAAAUCGAGGGUAAAAUAGUAAUUCUGUAAAUCAAGGGUAAAAUAGUAAUUCUAUAAAUCGAGGGUAAAAUGGUAAUUCUAUAAAUCGAGGGUAAAACGGUAAUUAUGUAAGUCGGGGGUACUUUGGUUAUUUUACAAGUCGAGGGUAUUUCAAUAAUUGGUAAACUAAAGUAUUCUAAACAUGGAUAACAAUACUAAUGGCCCUAAAGCCCAUUCUCGGCCCAAAUGGGCCCACACGCUCGUUUGGCCCUUUUAGCCCAAAUCUAGCCACAAAUAUUAGAUUCACCUAGCCUAACCCAAUAUUUACUACACAGUCAAACAACUUAUCCAAUUGGGCCCGUAGGCUCAUUAGGCCCACAUGACCCCUUUCGGCCCAUCGCGGCCCGAAGUAGCCAUCCUACAGCUAGAGUAGUAAGAAAUACACACCUAAUAGGAGACUGGAGUUAAUCCACGCUCCGAGCACUCUUAGCCGACGCCCAACCCAAACGAGCACGCCAUAUAGCGAAAGGGAUCAGCCAAGAAA
rnacentral:lncRNA from 1 species